GCAAGCGCAGCCAUGGAAGCGAAGCGCGCCGUGGAAGCGGCUUCUGGCCUCUUGCGCUCCGGAGCGAGUCCGGGUCGCGAUCCAGCUCUGCAAAGCAGCAGCCAGGGGCGUCCAGGGCUGGCCUUUUCGGGGGGCGAUUUUCAGUGCAAGAAUCAAGACGGAGAUCAAGUAUUGCGACUCUCGCGUAUCCCGGGCUGCGUGUAGCGGGGCCCCGUCGUUGUCAACGGAUGCAAGGGGACGCAGGUUUCCAGCAGAGAGCCCGCGCACUACAGAACGGCUGUGGAUUCUCCCCUGAAGAGGGAAACAGAAGGCAGAGUUCAUAAUCUAAUUACCUACUUGUUGCAUUCUUGCGGGCGUCUGAUUGGGCAUCUGGUUGGCCCCUGUGUGAACAGAAUGCCAGACUAAAUCUACCCUUCCUCUGA